GACGAACGCUGGCGGCGUGCUUAACACAUGCAAGUCGAACGGAAAGGCCCUGCUUUUGUGGGGUGCUCGAGUGGCGAACGGGUGAGUAACACGUGAGUAACCUGCCCUUGACUUUGGGAUAACUUCAGGAAACUGGGGCUAAUACCGGAUAGGAGCUCCUGCUGCAUGGUGGGGGUUGGAAAGCUUCGGCGGUUGGGGAUGGACUCGCGGCUUAUCAGCUUGUUGGGGGGGUAGUGGCUUACCAAGGCUUUGACGGGUAGCCGGCAUGAGAGGGUGACCGGGGCCAUUGGGACUGAGGGACGGCGCAGACUCGUACGGGGGGCAGCAGUGGGGAAUAUUGCACAAUGGGCGGAAGCCUGAUGCGGCAACGCCGCGUGCGGAAUGACGGCCUUCGGGUUGUAAACCGCUUUCGCCUGUGACGAAGCGUGGGUGACGGUAAUGGGUAAAGAAGCACCGGCUAACUACGUG
rnacentral:rRNA from 1 species